rnacentral:rRNA from 1 species
UACGUAGGGUGCAAGCGUUGUCCGGAAUUAUUGGGCGUAAAGAGCUCGUAGGCGGUCUGUUGCGUCGGCUGUGAAAACCCGAGGCUCAACCUCGGGCCUGCAGCCGAUACGGGCAGACUAGAGUUCGGCAGGGGAGACUGGAAUUCCUGGUGUAGCGGUGGAAUGCGCAGAUAUCAGGAGGAACACCGAUAGGCGAAGGCAGCUCGCUGGGACGGUACUGACGCUGGAGGCGACGGAAAGCGUGGGGAGCGAACAGG